GGGUUGUUAGCUCAGUUGGUUAGAGUCCCCCGCUCAUAACGGGGAGGUCGAGUGUUCGAGUCACUCACAACCCACCA
rnacentral:tRNA from 1 species